rnacentral:rRNA from 1 species
GACGAACGCUGGCGGCGUGCCUAAUACAUGCAAGUAGAACGCUGAAGAGAGGAGCUUGCUCUUCUUGGAUGAGUUGCGAACGGGUGAGUAACGCGUAGGUAACCUGCCUUGUAGCGGGGGAUAACUAUUGGAAACGAUAGCUAAUACCGCAUAACAAUGGAUGACACAUGUCAUUUAUUUGAAAGGGGCAAUUGCUCCACUACAAGAUGGACCUGCGUUGUAUUAGCUAGUAGGUGAGGUAAUGGCUCACCUAGGCGACGAUACAUAGCCGACCUGAGAGGGUGAUCGGCCACACUGGGACUGAGACACGGCCCAGACUCCUACGGGAGGCAGCAGUAGGGAAUCUUCGGCAAUGGGGGCAACCCUGACCGAGCAACGCCGCGUGAGUGAAGAAGGUUUUCGGAUCGUAAAGCUCUGUUGUAAGUCAAGAACGGGUGUGAGAGUGGAAAGUUCACACUGUGACGGUAGCUUACCAGAAAGGGACGGCUAACUACGUGCCAGCAGCCGCGGUAAUACGUAGGUCCCGAGCGUUGUCCGGAUUUAUUGGGCGUAAAGCGAGCGCAGGCGGUUUGAUAAGUCUGAAGUUAAAGGCUGUGGCUCAACCAUAGUUCGCUUUGGAAACUGUCAAACUUGAGUGCAGAAGGGGAGAGUGGAAUUCCAUGUGUAGCGGUGAAAUGCGUAGAUAUAUGGAGGAACACCGGUGGCGAAAGCGGCUCUCUGGUCUGUAACUGACGCUGAGGCUCGAAAGCGUGGGGAGCGAACAGGAUUAGAUACCCUGGUAGUCCACGCCGUAAACGAUGAGUGCUAGGUGUUGGAUCCUUUCCGGGAUUCAGUGCCGCAGCUAACGCAUUAAGCACUCCGCCUGGGGAGUACGACCGCAAGGUUGAAACUCAAAGGAAUUGACGGGGGCCCGCACAAGCGGUGGAGCAUGUGGUUUAAUUCGAAGCAACGCGAAGAACCUUACCAGGUCUUGACAUCCCGAUGCUAUUUCUAGAGAUAGAAAGUUACUUCGGUACAUCGGUGACAGGUGGUGCAUGGUUGUCGUCAGCUCGUGUCGUGAGAUGUUGGGUUAAGUCCCGCAACGAGCGCAACCCCUAUUGUUAGUUGCCAUCAUUCAGUUGGGCACUCUAGCGAGACUGCCGGUAAUAAACCGGAGGAAGGUGGGGAUGACGUCAAAUCAUCAUGCCCCUUAUGACCUGGGCUACACACGUGCUACAAUGGUUGGUACAACGAGUUGCGAGUCGGUGACGGCGAGCUAAUCUCUUAAAGCCAAUCUCAGUUCGGAUUGUAGGCUGCAACUCGCCUACAUGAAGUCGGAAUCGCUAGUAAUCGCGGAUCAGCACGCCGCGGUGAAUACGUUAACCGGGCCU